AUUGAACGCUGGCGGCAGGCCUAACACAUGCAAGUCGAGCGAGCGGCGGACGAGUGAGUAAUGUCUGGGAAACUGCCUGAUGGCGGGGGAUAACUACUGGAAACUAUAGAUAAUACCGCAUACCAUCAGAUGUGCCCAGAUGGGAUUGGAUAGUAGGUGGGGUAACGUCUCACCUAGGCUACGAUCCCUAGCUGGUCUGAGAGGAUGACCAGCCACACUAGAACUUGUACACGGUCCAUAGUCCUACUGGAGGCAGCGUUGGGGAAUAUUGCACAAUGGGCGCAAGCCGGAUGCAGCCAUGCCGCGUGUAUGAAGGAGGCCUUCGGGUUGUAAAGUACUUUCAGCGGUGAGGCGUUACCCGCAGAAGAAGCACCGGAUAACUCCGGGCCAGCAGCCGCGGUAAUAC
rnacentral:rRNA from 1 species